AUUGAACGCUGGCGGCGUGCCUAAUACAUGCAAGUCGAACGCAGUGGGGACGGGUGAGUAACCCGUGGGUAAGCUCCCAUCAGAGGGGAUAACAUUUGGAAACAGGUGCUAAACCGAUACAGAUGGAUGGACCCGCUGGGCAUUAGUUAGUUGGUGAGGUAACGGCUAACAAAGGGCACGAUGCAUAGCGGACCUGAGAGGGUGAUCAGCCACACUGGGACUGAGACACGGCCCAGACUCCGACGGGAGGCAGCAGUGGGGAAUCUUCGGCAAUGGGCGAAAGUCUGACCGAGCAACGCCGCGUGUGUGAAGAAGGUUUUCGGAUCGUAAAACUCUGUUGGUAGAGAAGCGUUAUCUAACCAGAAAGCCACGGCUAACUACGUGCCAGCAGCCGCGGUAAUAC
rnacentral:rRNA from 1 species